UUUGAAGAAACCAGAUUUAUUGAAGGGCUGCUGGGUCCUUCAAAAAUGCCUUUACCUCAGACGUAGACAAAGUUCAAUGAAUUCUCUGAGUACAAAUCAGAGUAAGAAGGUAAAGUUGAGUCCGAAAGUGGGUUCAUGGGACUACGGGUUCAGCUGUAUCUAACAGAAACCUACAGUAUCAAUGACUGAAACAAUAUCAAAGUUUAUUUCUCUUACCUAACAGUUUGAAGGUCUGCUGCCUAGGAUUAGUGAGGUGAUUCCACGGUGUCAUGGACCCAGGCCCCUCUCGUCUUACUGCUUCAUCAUCUUCAGCAGGUGGGCCCUCACCCGCGGGGUCCAGAUGGCUCCCAGCAGCCACCAUCCUCAGGCCAAGCAGGAGAGAACCCUUUAAGAAUGGAUACUUCUACAACAGAAAAAAACGAUGGUGAAAGGAUGAUGAUAUCUGGUAGGGAUUUAUAGUUUUGAAGUACUUUCCUUGGCUUAUCAAACAUGACUGUUACAAAAGCCCAGUGGGAAUGGCCGCCCAAAUAUUACUCUGCCUCUUGUAAGAAUGGAGAAACUGAGACCCAAAGAGACCAAGUGACUUGCUCAAGGUCACCCAUGGAGGAACCAGCUGAGCCGGAGCCACCCCACAGAGGAGGCGGCACCCACUAGCUGGUCUCCGCAGAGCAGGUGCGCGCUCCAGCCCCGAGGGGCCCGCCGCGCUCCCACAUUACCCUACAGCAGCCUUAACUUAACAAUAUGUGUUUCCCCCAAUUGUAAUUAUGUCCUUGUUCGCAGCAAAGAGGAUCUGAGCCACUUCCCCCAGCAGGGGAAGCGGCAGGUGCGGGCAGUGGGGUUGGCCAGGGCCCCGCACACUGGUGUCCAGGCUUUGGGGACACAGACCGGCUCUCAGGCUCGGGCUCGGGCUGCCCGCGGAGUGUUCGCCCUGUCAGGUGCGGCUGGGCUUUCUCGGUGGUCCGGGGCAGCGACAGGAACUGGCCCCAAGCCUCCACUUACUGCAGGUGCACGUUUGACAAUGAGAAGCCCAUCUCCGCAAGCACAGCAUGCAUUAGCAUCCUCUCCUUCGGAGAGAGCUAUUUUUGUCUUUCAUCUUCAGCAACUGUGUUCCACAAUAAAGGAGAUAAGUCUCAGAAGGAGAAUCAGUGACAACCAGUGUCUCCAGCUCAGAAGAGCAAGUCACUAUUUACUCAAUAACAAGGACAGCAACCAUCGCCCUGGGGGCACUGGAGUGGGCGACCCGCUGCCCUUGGGGACAGCGCCUCGUCCUGCACCCGCCUCAUCUCUCUGUGUGAUUCCUCUCCACACACUUCGCUGAACCGGGAUUGGUGGGGGUUACUGAGAGUCACGUCCAGGACUUCCAUUCGACUCUAGAAGGGGGAUGGUGGACAUAAAGCUAUCAGCACAUCAAGUCUGCACCGCCCAAACUCUCCUACGACCCAGAUAGGAGAGUGCAACCCACAGCUAGGGGAGAGGGGAGCCACGCCAAGAGAGGACCAGGUCCUGGCGGCACCGAUUUAGCUCCCGUAUCAAGCUGCAUCUCAACACAGCGUGACUUGUGAUGAGGAGUCAUCUUGAACCAGAUGGAUGAGGUCAAUCUCCUAGAACGAGUGGAUCAACUAGGUGGAAAGAGCCUGGGAUGGGUGACUGCCUGGAGCAGAGCCACAGUACCUGGCUGGAUGUUUGUGGGAAAGAGAAAUCAGUUUCCAUCUUGUUCUCUGGACACCUUGUGUUCCGGCAGCAAGCACACCAUCUGGUUGGCCAAGGACCUUCUUAAAAUGAGGCUCCUGAAACUGAACGUGGAACUUCAAGCAAGCUCUGGCAGAGCUGGGACCGUGCCCGAGACCCGCAGACCCAACACAGCCUUACAACGAGGUCAUAAAUUAGCAGCAGAGGCAAGAGUGGAGGCAAGUCUCCUGCCCCACGAGGACAACCAGAGUCACCUGCAGCAUCCUGUGGUCUAGCAGGUGCGAAUGGUCAGAAUCACCGUGCCCACUGAAAACGUGCUCUGCUCCUUUGCAAGGCUUCACCACCCCAGCUGAGAACCGCAGAUCCAAACAAACCCUGAUGCUCCCAUCCCUCUUUCCUGGGAUGAAGCUCAAGAGGAAUCCUACAGGAGGUCUUUAGCACAAGGUGUUUCUACCCGAUAAAAAGAGACACCAGGGCAUCAACAGUAGAUCUCUCUGCCUGGGAUCACCCUAUGAAGACAUGCUGUCUGGGGGACUGCAACCACAGGCUAGUUUGAGGAGAGCCGGCCUGAGGAAGAGGCCAGUGCACAGAGCAGAGCAGAAAGGUGGAGUGAAGUGAGGUACCCGAUGACGAUGACCUAACAUGAGCCCCAGAAUGCCAAGCCCGGAACUGCUCUGGCUCCAUUCCUUUGAUAUGGUAAGUAAUUGUGCAAGCCACUGCAGCUGGGGUUUUCGGUUAGGACAACCAAAAGCUCCUUCCUGAUAAAAGUGUGCAUAUUCUUGCGGUGCCGGGGUGGCUCAGAUGGUUAAGCCUCUGCCUUCAGCUCAGGUCAUGAUCUCCAGGUCCUGGGAUCAAGCCCCAUGUGCCCCACGAGCCCAAUAGGGCUCCGGCUCAGUGGAGAGUCUGCUUCUCUCUCUGCCCCUUCCCCCUGCUCGAGCUCUCUCUCUCUCUCUAUCUGUCUCUCAAAUAAAUAAAUAAAUCUUUUUAAAAAAGUAUUCAUAUUCUGGUUGUUUGGAGACCCCGUUUCUGGGCUUUGUGCAGAGAAUGUGCCUCCUUUCUUGGCCUUACCUUGAAGUGUGGUGGUUAAGGAAGUUUCUGGGUUCACAUUCCAGCUCUCCUUUUAUAGGCUGGGAAAAUUUAGGCAAGUCUCUUUUCCUUCUCUGUAAAAUAGGGACAAUCAUGGUUUUUCUAACUCUGGGAACUUAGGGAUUAAAUUAAAUGAGUUAACAGAAGAAAAGCAUUUCAAACUGCCUAGUAUGUCACUGAUGCUGAAUAGGUAUUAACUAUGAUUGGUCUUUUUAGUUUUUUGCUUAGAUCUCUUUUGGCCAGAAAUUCAAUUCCAACUAAAUUAAGCUAAAAAAGAAAAGUUAUCGACAGUGGAAGGCACGAAAUGGGUUACAGACUCAGGAAGUGCUGUUGAAUCAAGGCCUCACGGAUGAGAUGCGGUGCUUCUAGAUAGUCUUUGGCUGCCCCUAAGUAUCACCUGGAGGGUUUUUAAAAGUCUCGAGGCCCAGGCUAUACCCAGACCAAUUCAAUACAGAUUCCUGGGGCUGGCCCCAGACCUCAGCAGGUGUCAAGCUCCUCAGGUGAUUCCAGUGUG